rnacentral:rRNA from 1 species
UUCCGGUUGAUCCCGCCGGAGGUCAUUGCUAUCGGAGUCCGAUUUAGCCAUGCUAGUUGUACGAGUUUAGACUCGUAGCGGAAAGCUCAGUAACACGUGGUCAAGCUACCCUGUAGUGACGGAUAACCUCGGGAAACUGAGGCUAAUACGUCAUAACGCUCGAGAUCUGGAGUUGAUUCGAGCCGGAAAGGCCUAUGGCGCUACAGGAUGCGACUGCGGUCGAUUAGGUAGACGGUGGGGUGACGGCCCACCGUGCCCAUAAUCGGUACGGGUUGUGAGAGCAAGAGCCCGGAGACGGUAUCUGAGACAAGAUACCGGGCCCUACGGGGCGCAGCAGGCGCGAAACCUUUACACUGUACGCAAGUGCGAUAGGGGGACUCCGAGUGUGUGGGCAUAGAGCUCACACUUUUGUAGACCGUAAGGUGGUCUACGAAUAAGAGCUGGGCAAGACCGGUGCCAGCCGCCGCGGUAAUACCGGCAGCUCGAGUGAUGACCGAUUUUAUUGGGCCUAAAGCGUCCGUAGCUGGCCAUGCAAGUCCGUUGGGAAAUCCACCUGCUUAACAGGUGGGCGUCCAGCGGAAACUGUAUGGCUUGGGACCGGAAGAUCCAAGGGGUACGUCCGGGGUAGGAGUGAAAUCCUGUAAUCCUGGACGGACCACCGAUGGCGAAAGCACCUUGGAAGGACGGAUCCGACAGUGAGGGACGAAAGCUAGGGUCUCGAACCGGAUUAGAUACCCGGGUAGUCCUAGCUGUAAACGAUGUCCGCUAGGUGUGGCACAGGCUACGAGCCUGUGCUGUGCCGUAGGGAAGCCGAGAAGCGGACCGCCUGGGAAGUACGUCUGCAAGGAUGAAACUUAAAGGAAUUGGCGGGGGAGCACUACAACCGGAGGAGCCUGCGGU